rnacentral:misc_RNA from 1 species
GAAAUGCGAUAAGUAAUGUGAAUUGCAGAAUUCCGUGAAUCAUCGAAUCUUUGAACGCACAUUGCGCCCUCUGGUAUUCCGGGGGGCAUGCCUGUCCGAGCGUCAUUGCACACCCUCAAGCGCGGCUUGUGUGUUGGGCCCCCGCGUCCUUGCCAUUUAAAGGACGGGCCCGAAAGGCAGUGGCGGCGUCGCGGUUAUCCGAUCAGCCAGAGCGUAUGGGGACUCUGUUCACACGCCCGCGGCGCGGACCGACGCCUGUCGACCUUUAUUCAUCUUCUCUCGGUUGACCUCGGAUCAGGUAGGGAUACCCGCUGAACUUAAGC